UGAGGAACAUGACCUUCGGCGGGGGAUAGCUGGCCCAACGGCCGGGUAAUACCGCGUACGACCACUCGGGGACAUCCCUAGGUGGUGAAAGCAGCAAUGCGCCGAUGGAGUGCCUCGCGGCCUAUCAGCUAGUUGGUGAGGUAACGGCUCACCAAGGCAACGACGGGUAGCUGGU
rnacentral:rRNA from 1 species